ACUAGCCUAACUGAAAUCACAAAAUCACAAAAUGUGCUUAUUGUGAUAACGUAAGGGAAAAAAAUGAUAUUACCUUACUAUAAGUGUUGUCUAAAUAACUGGUGCCAGAAGACUCGGUAACACCAGAAACGCGAACGUUAGUCGUCUUAAACAGGCGUAAAGGGUAAGUAGGCUGCUUUAAAGUCUAUUUUUAAAUAAGCUAAUUUAUAAUAAUCCGCUUGAAAGCUGAUUGCUUCCUUCUUGUGCGUAGCGCUUUUUUUUAUUAAAAAAAAAAGAAAAGAGACCUGCGAAGCAGUAUCUCUAGCUUCGCAAGGAGAGGCUAGACUAAAAAAUUUAAGACCUUAAAUUAUAAUUAAGGCUAACUUACAAUUAAAAUAAGGAAUUAUAAAAAUUUAAAAAAUAGAAACACUUAAAGCUAGAAUCAUAAUUGAGAUAAACCAAAUAAUACUUAUGUGUAAGGGCGAUAUCUGAAAAUACUAAGUAGAAUACUAACAGUGAAAACUUUUUAUCUGGUAAUGAUUGACGCUGAGGUACGAAAGUGAGAACAGGGAAUAGGAUUAGAUACCCAGUUACCUCUCACCGUCAACGAUGAAUGGUAGUUGUUAGUUUAAUUAAAUUAGUGACGAUGUUAACACGAUAACCAUUCCGCCUUGAGAGUACGGUUGCAAAACUGAAACCAAAAAAAUUAGUCGGUCUCGGAGCAAA
rnacentral:rRNA from 1 species